AGGGAAAGACUCUUCUCCACUCUGGGACAAUUUGUAGAAAACAAAAUGUGGGAGAAAGUUGAAAUGAACCAAAAAUAUUCUACUUUAUUUUUUAUUUUAUUUUAUUUUUUUAAGUCCAGCCAUAACCAGGCUACCAGGACACAUGAUGCUGCUAUUAAAGAGGACCUAAAGAGGACCAGCUUUAAGAGCUUUGAGAAAGAAAACAGAAAUUUCACCUUCGUUGUUCAGGUUCCUCCUUUACAGGAAUUUCUGCAGCUACACAACUGGCAGGUAAUGCAUUAUAAAAUAAAAUCCUUUGGAACACCAGAAUGUGGACUUCCCUUGAAGACCUAUGGAGAAAACUGCUGAAGCCAGUGAAGCAAAUGUGCCUCUAAAGGCACAUAGGUGCAAAAUAAGUGAUGAAAAGUACAGUCUGCUGUUUGAAAAAGAAUGUUGAGAAUCAAGCCGUCCAGAUUUCUUCACAACUUCCAUCAGGAUGCACAUUUUCUCAUAACAUUAGAUAUCCCACUUAAAUACUUACUCAGUCACAUUUUUAAUUUAGGAUCCUAAACCAGAAGAUCUGAUGUUAGUAACGGGAUUUAUUAUUUUAAAAUAACAAG